rnacentral:rRNA from 1 species
GAUGAACGCUGGCGGCGUGCCUAAUACAUGCAAGUCGAGCGAACAGACGAGGAGCUUGCUCCUCUGACGUUAGCGGCGGACGGGUGAGUAACACGUGGAUAACCUACCUAUAAGACUGGGAUAACUUCGGGAAACCGGAGCUAAUACCGGAUAAUAUAUUGAACCGCAUGGUUCAAUAGUGAAAGACGGUUUUGCUGUCACUUAUAGAUGGAUCCGCGCCGCAUUAGCUAGUUGGUAAGGUAACGGCUUACCAAGGCAACGAUGGGUAGCCGACCUGAGAGGGUGAACGGCGACAGUGGGACUGCGAUACGGGCCAGACUCGUAUGGGAGGCAGCGGUGGGGAAUCGUGAAAAAUGGGAGGAAGCAUGAUGAAGCAACGUUGGGAGCGGGAUGACGGCUGUCGGGUGGUAAACCGCAUUCGCCUGUGACGAAGAGGGAGUGACGGUAAUGGGUAAAGAAGCAACGGCUAAUUACGUG